UACGGGGGGGGCAAGCGUUGUUCGGAAUUACUGGGCGUAAAGGGCUCGUAGGCGGCCAACUAAGUCAGACGUGAAAUCCCUCGGCUUAACCGGGGACUGCGUCUGAUACUGGAUGGCUUGAGUUUGGGAGAGGGAUGCGGAAGUUCCAGGUGUAGCGGUGAAAUGCGUAGAUAUCUGGAGGAACACCGGUGGCGAAGGCGGCAUCCUGGACCAACACUGACGCUGAGUGAGCGAAAGCCAGGGGAGCAAACGGG
rnacentral:rRNA from 1 species